rnacentral:rRNA from 1 species
CACCCAUGCAUGUUUCUGACAUUUGAAAAAUUGACUGCUCAGUAAUACUCACUUUAUUUUAUGUAAAUUUUUAAUUAACUACGUUAAAGUGUAGAUAAGAUGUUUACAGUAAGAGUGAGACCUAUCAGCUAGUUGUUAAGGUAAUGGCUUAACAAGGCUGUGACGGGUAACGGUAUUACUUUGUAAUAUUCCGGAGAAGGAGCCUGAGAGACGGCUACUAAGUCUAAGGAUUGCAGCAGGGGCGAAACUUGACCUAUGGAUUUUAUCUGAGGCAGUUAUGGGAAGUAAUAUUAUAUUGUUUCAUAUUUUAAAAGUAUAUGAGGUGAUUAAUUGGAGGGCAAAUCAAGUGCCAGCCGCCGCGGUAAUACUUGUUCCAAGAGUGUGUAUGAUGAUUGAUGCAGUUAAUAAUUCCGUAGUUUAUUUUUUU